rnacentral:tRNA from 1 species
GCCUGAUUUCUAACCCUUAUCAUCAGACUCAAAAUCUGUUGUCUGUAAGGACGUGGGAGUUCGAGUCUCCCCGGGGGCACCA